rnacentral:rRNA from 1 species
CCUACGGGUGGCUGCAGUGAGGAAUAUUGGUCAAUGGUCGGGAGCCUGAACCAGCCAAGCCGCGUGAGGGAGGAAGGUACAGAGUAUCGUACACCUCUUUUGUCAGGGAACAAAGACUGGGACGCGUCCCCGGAUGAGUGUACCUGAAGAAAAAGCAUCGGCUAACUCCGUGCCAGCAGCCGCGGUAAUACGGAGGCGGCGAGCGUUAUCCGGUUUUAUUGGGUUUAAAGGGUGCGCAGGCGGUCUGUAAAGUCAGCGGUCAAAGCCCGGGGCUCACCCCCGGCCCGCCGUUGAAACUGGCAGGCUCGAGUUGGAGAGAAGUAUGCGGAAUGCGCGGUGUAGCGGUGAAAUGCAUAGAUAUCGCGCAGAACUCCGAUUGCGAAGGCAGCAUGCCGGAUCCACACUGACGCUGAGGCACGAAAGCGUGGGUAUCGAACAGGAUUAGAUACCCGAGUAGUC